UACGAAGGUGGCAAGCGUUGUUCGGAUUUACUGGGCGUAAAGGGAGCGUAGGCGGUUGGAUAAGCCCUCCGUGAAAUCUCCAGGCUUAACCUGGAAAGUGCAGAGGGGACUGUUCAGCUAGAGGAUGGGAGAGGAGCGCGGAAUUCCCGGUGUAGAGGUGAAAUUCGUAGAUAUCGGGAGGAACACCAGUGGCGAAGGCGGCGACCUGGGCCAAUAUUGACGCUGAGGUGCGAAAGCGUGGGGAGCAAACAGG
rnacentral:rRNA from 1 species